AUACAUGUAAAAAGACCGAUAACCAGCAAGGAAUCAGCACCAACCUCAGAUGACGAGAUUGUGGAGCAAACUGAACGACCAACAGGGGAUGCUGUCAAGAAGAAUUCCAAUACAUCAAGGGGUACAACUAUCAAUUCUAUCAACCCUCAUGAGCCUCCUAUUCCAUUCCCGCAGAGGUUGAAAAAACAAAAAUUGGAUCAGCAAUAUAGUAAAUUUCUUGAAGUCUUCAAGAAAUUACACAUCAACAUCCCAUUUGCUGAAGCACUUGUUCAGAUGCCGAGUUAUGCAAAAUUUCUAAAGGAUAUCCUCUCUAACAAGCGAGAGAUAGAAGAAAACAAAAUAGUGAUGCUAACUGAGGAAUGCAGUGCCAGAAUCCAGAAAAAAUUGCCUCCAAAACUAAAGGAUCCAGGGAGUUUCACUGUACCUUGUACUAUUGGAAAUUGUCAUUUUGAUAAAGCUUUGUAUGAUUUAGGUGCAAGUAUUAAUUUGAUGCCUCUCUCUAUUUUCAUGAAACUCGGCCUGUGAAAAGCUAAAGCCACAACUGUCACCUUACAGUUAGCAGAUCGAUCCCUUAUACAUCCAAGAGGGAUAAUUGACGACGUGUUGGUAAAAGUAGAGAAGUUCAUAUUUCCAUCCGAUUUUCUCAUCCUAGACAUGGAGGAAGAUAAGGAUGUUCUACUCAUAUUGGAGCGACCCUUCUUAGCUACUGGAAGAGCUAUUGUCGAUGUUCAGAAAGGGCAGCUUAUGUUGAGACUUGGGGAAGAGCAAAUCUCAACGUGUUCAAGGCAAUGAAAUUUCCUACUGAGUUAGACAGCUGUUUUCAGAUCGAUGUAAUUGAC
rnacentral:lncRNA from 1 species